UACGUAGGGGGCUAGCGUUAUCCGGAAUUACUGGGCGUAAAGGGUGCGUAGGUGGUUUCUUAAGUCAGAGGUGAAAGGCUACGGCUCAACCGUAGUAAGCCUUUGAAACUGGGAAACUUGAGUGCAGGAGAGGAGAGUGGAAUUCCUAGUGUAGCGGUGAAAUGCGUAGAUAUUAGGAGGAACACCAGUUGCGAAGGCGGCUCUCUGGACUGUAACUGACACUCAGGCACGAAAGCGUGGGGAGCAAACAGG
rnacentral:rRNA from 1 species